ensembl:snRNA U6 U6 spliceosomal RNA
AUGCUCAUUUUGGCCCAUAUACACUAAAAUCAGAAUGAUACAGAGAGGAUUAGCAAGACCCCUGUACAAGGAUGACACACAACGUCAUAAAGCAUUUCAUAUUUUU